AGACGAACCGUCCAAACGUUAUUCGGAAUCACUGGGCUUAAAGGGUACGUAGGCGGCUUAGAAAGUUGGGUGUGAAAUCCCUCGGCUCAACCGAGGAACUGCACUCAAAACUACUAGGCUUGAGGGAGAUAGAGGUAAGCGGAACUCAGGGUGGAGCGGUGGAAUGCGUUGAUAUCCUGGGGAACACCAGUUGCGAAGGCGGCUUACUGGGUCUCUUCUGACGCUGAGGUACGAAAGCUAGGGGAGCGAACGGAAUUAGAAACCCGUGUAGUCC
rnacentral:rRNA from 1 species